GAUCUUGUUGCUCAACAUCAUCUGCUCACGCCCUCCCCCCUGCAGCUGGCUGAGCUCUUUGCAGACAGAGACAGGGACAAGAAUCAUCCGUCAGAAAGCUCCAGGCUCAUCUCAGCAGCUUUUGCAUUUUUAUCUCAGCAAGGAACCUGUCCAAAUUUACUUUCUCCACCCUUCUUAUGUCUGAGGGCUUGGUUUCCUCAGCGAGUUUCUUGUCUGCUCAGGGGGAGAUUUUCCUGAGAAGAGCCACUGCCUUUCUACUGCUCGGCCAUGUUCCUGUUGCUUAUCUCAACACUGGGGAUAUUUGCCCUGCGAGACACUGGAGCCCAGUCAGUGACGCAGCCUGAUGUCCAUGUCACUGUCUCUGAAGGAGCCCCUCUGGAGCUGAGGUGCAACUAUUCCUCAAGUGGAACUCCUUAUCUCUUCUGGUACAUGCAGCACCCCAACCAAGGACUCCAGUUUCUACUGAAGUACUUUUCAGGGGACACCCUGGUUAAAGGCAUCAAAGGUUUUGAGGCUGAAUUUAAGAACCAUGAAACCACCUUCCACCUGAGGAAAUCCCAAGCCCUUGGCAGCGAUGUGGCCAAGUACUUCUGUGCUGUGCGUGACACAGUGUCUGGGACUGCAGGGGGAGAUGAACACAAACCACCAUGGAUGGAAAGGCAAAGAGAAUAUUAAAACAAUCUGAAGAAAGAAUACUCCGUUCACCUGAGCAAGAUUUUAUGUGUCCCCUUCCAGUCAUCCUCUUCCUGACGACAAUGACUGCUCUUAUUGCUAUCACCGAAGAUUGAUUUUAAAUGUUCUAGAACUUUAAAUCCAGGAAAUCAUAUGGCAGGGACUCUUUUGUACCUUGUUUCUUUCAUUAAACAAGAUUCACCCAUGCUCUUGUGUGUAUCAGUCGCUCAUUACUUCCUCUUCCUAAGUAUCCUACUAUCUGAAUAUAUCACACUUUGUUUAUUCACAUCUGUAUCCACCACUGGCUGGACACUAGAUCUGUUAAGGGUGAAAUCUUUAAUUCCAUUCAUAAAGUUUCA